rnacentral:rRNA from 1 species
AAAAAAUUAGUCAAGUAAGUAAGGGCGUACGGCGGAUGCCUUGGCCAUAUCAGCCGAAGAAGGACGCGAUAAGCUGCGAUAAGCUGCGGUGAGGUGCAAGUAACCUUUGACCCGCAGAUCUCCGAAUGGGGAAACCCGGCAGCAGUAGUGCUGUCAUCCUCUAUGAGGAAGGGCACCCGGUGAACUGAAACAUCUAAGUAGCCGGAGGAAAAGGAAUCAACAGAGAUACCCCUAGUAGCGGCGAGCGAACGGGGCAGAGCCCAAACCGGAAUGGGAAACCAAUCCGGGGUUGUGGACUGCUAUCAAAUGCAUGAGUGAAGCAGAAUGAGCUGGGAAGCUCAGCCAGAGAGAGUGAGAGCCUCGUAGGCGUAAGCAAAUGCAUGGAGCAGGAUCCAGAGUACCACGGGACACGAGAAACCCUGUGGGAAGCUGGGGGGACCACCCUCCAAGGCGAAACACUGAUAUGGACCGAUAGCGCAUAGUACCGUGAGGGAAAGGUGAAAAGAACCCCGGGAGGGGAAUGAAAGAGAACCUGAAACCGUAUGUCUACAAGCAGUCGAAGACCUUUAUAUGGUCGACGGCGUGCCUAUUGAAGAAUGAACCGGCGAGUUACUUCAGCUAGCGAGGUUAAGCGGAAAACGUGGAGCCGAAGCGAAAGCGAGUCUGAACAGGGCGUAUAGUUAGUUGGAGUAGACCCGAAACCACAGUGAUCUACCCAUGUCCAGGUUGAAGCACAGGUAAAAAUGUGUGGAGGACCGAACCAGUGAGCGUUGAAAAGCUUUUGGAUGAGAUGUGGGUAGGGGUGAAAUGCCAAUCGAACGUGGAGAUAGCUGGUUCUCCCCGAAAUAGCUUUAGGGCUAGCCUCAUGGCGAGAGUACAGGCGGUAGAGCACUGAACGGGGUAGGGGCCUAUCCGGCUACUGAACCUAAUCAAACUGCGAAUGGCUGUACUUAUCCAUGGGAGUCAGACUGUGAGUAAUAAGGCCCAUAGUCAAGAGGGAAACAGCCCAGACCAACAGCUAAGGUCCCCAAUGCCGUACUAAGUGGCGAAGGAUGUGGAAUUUCGAAAACAACCAGGAUGUUGGCUCAGAAGCAGCCACCAUUAAAAGAGUGCGUAAUAGCUCACUGGUCGAGAGACUCUGCGCCGAAGAUGUCCGGGGCUAAAGUACGGAACCGAAGCUUUGGCAAUUGACAUUAGUCAAUUGGGUAGGGGAGCGUUCCUGCAUGGGAGAAGCCUGACCGGAAGGACAGGUGGACAGGCAGGAAGAGAGAAUGCCGGUAUGAGUAGCGAAAAGAAGGGUGAGAAUCCCUUCCACCGAAAGCCUAAGGGUUCCUGGGCAACGAUCGUCGUCCCAGGGUAAGUCGGGACCUAAUCCGAGGCGGAGACGCGUAGGAGAUGGACAACAGGUUGAAAUUCCUGUACUGGCUGAGGCCGUUUGAGCGAAGGAGUGACACAGGAAGGAAGGCGCGCGUGCGAUUGGAAGAGCACGUCCAAGCAGGUAGGUUGGGAGACAGGCAAAUCCGUUUCCCAUGAGGCCGAGAUGCGAUGGGGAGCUUCUGGAGACAGAAGCGAAGGGGCUGGCACUAAACUGUCGAGAAAAGCUUCUAGUGAGGACUCAGGCACCCGUACCGAAACCGACACAGGUAGGCAGGAUGAGAAUUCUAAGGUGCGCGGGAAAACCCUCGUUAAGGAACUCGGCAAAAUAUAUCCGUAACUUCGGGAAAAGGAUAACCCAGCGUACGUGAAGUGCAGAAGCGCAUGGAGCGGAGAUGGGUGGCAGAAGAGAGGCCCAAGCGACUGUUUACCACAAACACAGGCGUCUGCUAAAGCGAAAGCUGAUGUAUAGAUGCUGACACCUGCCCGGUGCUGGAAGGUUAAGAGGAAGUGUUAGCGCAAGCGAAGCAGUGAAUUGAAGCCCCAGUAAACGGCGGCCGUAACUAUAACGGUCCUAAGGUAGCGAAAUUCCUUGUCGGGUAAGUUCCGACCCGCACGAAAGGUGUAACGAUUUGGGCACUGUCUCAACGAGGGACCCGGUGAAAUUGAAGUACCUGUGAAGAUGCAGGUUACCCGCGACUGGACAGAAAGACCCCAUGGAGCUUUACUGUAACCUGAGAUUGGAUUCCGGUAAGAGAUGUACAGGAUAGUUGGGAGGCUUAGAUACAAGUACGCCAGUAUUUGUGGAGCCAUUGGUGGGAUACCAACCUUGUUUUAUUGGAAUUCUAACGAGAAGCGUAACGAGCUUGCGGACAGUCUCAGGCGGGCAGUUUGACUGGGGCGGUCGCCUCCGAAAGAGUAACGGAGGCGCCCAAAGGUUCCCUCAGCGCGGACGGAAACCGCGCGAAGAGUGCAAAGGCAGAAGGGAGCUUGACUGCGAGACGGACAGGUCGAGCAGGGACGAAAGUCGGGCUUAGUGAUCCGGUGGUAGAGAGUGGAAUUGCCAUCGCUCAACGGAUAAAAGCUACCCUGGGGAUAACAGGCUUAUCUCUCCCAAGAGUCCAUAUCGACGGGGAGGUUUGGCACCUCGAUGUCGGCUCAUCACAUCCUGGGGCUGAAGUAGGUCCCAAGGGUUGGGCUGUUCGCCCAUUAAAGUGGUACGCGAGCUGGGUUCAGAACGUCGUGAGACAGUUCGGUCCCUAUCCAUCGCGGGCGUAAGAAACUUGAAAGGGGCUGCUCCUAGUACGAGAGGACCGGAGUGGACCGACCAAUGGUGUACCAGUCAUGGCGCCAGCCGUGCAGCUGGGUAGCUACGUCGGGGACGGAUAAACGCUGAAAGCAUCUAAGCGUGAAACCAGCCUAGAGAUGAGGUUUCUCAUUGUUUUAACAAGUAAGGUCCCACAAAGACGAUGUGGUUGAUAGGCCGGGAGUGGAAGUACAGCGAUGUACGGAGCGGACCGGUACUAAUAGACCGAGGACUUGACUUAA